GUCGGCGCGGUCGUGGGUGGGUGUGUAUAUGUGUGUUCUCGUGUGCAGGGUGAACACACGUGCCCAGGCGUGUUUACACGUGCAUACAGCUGCCAACGUGUCUAUGAGUACAGGCCCGAAUUCCCUGUUGGAGCACGGGGCUGAGCCGGGAAUAGCGCGGGAGCGGAGCCAAAUCGUGACGGCGGAACAUCUGCACCCUGGCUUGAACAAGAUACUCCACAGACACAACGACCUUCAAGCCCAGAACUUUGGAGGAGCUCCAAGGACUGGACGUACUUUGAGAAAGAUGAAGACAAGGAAGAGGGGGUCCCAGAGCCCCCUGCCUCAAUUUCCAGAGGGGUGUGCCGGGAGGAGGAUCUGGGGGGUGGACGGAUCUGGGAUUGGUUGGGAUAAUACCUUAAAUUGUGGAACCCCGUGGACACGGCAGGCAUGUCAUAUGUAUUCACUGGGCCUCAGGCCUGAAAUUAAAGGACCUACUCUCUUUAUCU